UUUAAAACUAUCCAUGGUCAAAGGUUAAAAUGUAUAAUGGACAAGAAUUGUGUUUUAUUUGUAUUUGUACCAUGGUGUCUGGUAGUCACAUAGAUAAUAAAAUCAUAGAAUGUGAAAGCCAGGAGUAAUCUCAGAUAUUAACUAGCUCAACCCAUUUUUUUUAACAUAAAUUUUCUCUAUGGAAUCAGAAAACAUUUGUCUUACUCAACAUCAGUUCUUCUCUAAAGUAUCUUAAAAUUAUCAUGUAGCUACCUAACUCUGUUCUUGAAUGUUAACAAUAAGAAUAAACAUUUAAAGAAGAGAUUCUAAAAACAUGCACAAAUUACCUUUCUGAGAAAGAAUAAAUUGCAAAGAAAGAAAACUAAGUACUAUGCUCAGGCUUUCACCUCUAAUUAAGCUCUCACUAUACUAAGCAUCAAGAUCUUACAUGCAAUGGACAUUCUCUUGUUCAUUUAUCGAGACAUUUAUUGAAUCAAUCAUCAGUUAUUCUUAAGUACCUACUAUACUCAGGUACCAUGUUGAAGCACUUAAGAUACAGAGCAAAAAGUGGUCUCUGUCCUUAAUGAGUAUGGUGGCCAGAUGGAGAAAUAAGCAGCUAAGCUUUAUCCUAUAUAUUAACACUGAUUGCUACAAGGAAUGAACAAAGAAAAAGGCAUCUAAAGCCAACUGGAGGGAGCAUAGGGUCACAGAAGUUGCUAAGUAGAAGCAAGCAGGCAAAGAGCACUGAGAAGAUGCGCUAGCAGAUGAGCGGCACUUCUAAAUGCCCCAAAUUUGCAGGUGGCGGUGAGGGGUGGGGAAGACAGUGCAAAGCAAGAUUUGUGGCCACCAAUUUCUUAACGUCCAGGAGAUACAGCUUUGUGAUGGGAUGCCCAUCAGCACUUCCUUGACAGACCUGUAAUUGCUUUUCAAGCUCUGAGACAAGUUUCACACUUGAGCGCAGAGUUCUAGAGUUCGGUAGGGCAAAGGUCAAGGAUGCAGCCCCGGUCCACAUCUGUGGAGGAGAGACUGCUCCAAGACAUGUCCGCUGCUGGACCCAUGAGCUAGAGCUGGGCCAGAACAGAGACUGCUUCCUGUAAAACCCAUACAAGACUAUCUUUGAUGGAUAUCUUCCUUCUGACAUAAACCAGUACCUCUCCCGUGUCCCAUGGGUGGUGGUUCAUGGAACAGGCCAUUGUUCUGACCUGGGCAAGCAUAUAAGGCAUUUUCUUGCACCUGGUACGAGGUUCAUACCAGUACCCCCAUCCAACCUGCCCUGUUCUAGAUAAUUUUUUGGCACUGCUCGAGUGGCACAAAGGAUAUCCUCUUUGAAUUGCAGCUGUCCCAGAUGUGUCUCAUGAGUUUCCCUUAAUAAACUCUGUUAAUUGCCAGACUCCAUGGAGGGGCCUGCCUCUUUCUUCAGUCUGUCUCUGCCCUCUGCUUACAGAGACAUAUUUUUCAGUCUGAGGACUUUUUCCUGGGUCUGCAUGUAUGAACAAGGCCCAAAAGACUCAUGCCUCUCCUGCUGGGGGCCAAGGCAGCAGGAGCCAUCAGACGGACUGUAUAGGGUACAAUGUGAUCUGAGUAUUCCCUUAAAAAGACCUUCUAGAAGCAAAAUAGAAAACCAGCUGUAAGAUUAAAGAUGGACAACAAAUGACAAUGCUGAACUAUGUCGGUGGCCUAAGGAUAGAAAAGAUGCUGGUUUGGUGGAUUCCCCAGGACUCUGAUUGGAAGAAAGAGAGGAGACCCCCUAGAAUGGCCUUCAGCUAGCUCAGCUGUGGGCUUGGCUGAUGAGAUGGAAACUCCAGUCACCAAGAGAGGCAAUUAAGGAGGAAGCAGAUCAGUGGGGAACAAUAAGGCAGUAUUGAGGAUAAGGUGCAAGAUUUAUUUUGCCAAACUUUUAACAAUAUAAGGUCUCCCCAGUGACCUAUGGGAAUUCACCCUGCUUGUCUAAAAGACAAGCUGCAACAGACUCUGCCUCCGUUUACUACUGGUGUUAGGAUCUCUGUCUUAUUGGUUCCUAUUCUUUUCUGGGACAAAGGGAGUUCACUAACUUGCCUUCAGAUCAAAUGGGUUUCUGAAGAAUCCAAAUUGGGCUUGCCAUUACAAAACAAAACAAAACAUAACAAAACCCAUCUGUUAUACAGGGUAAAUAAAGCCUUAGUAAUGAUGCCAAUCCUCCCCCAGAGGAAUAGAAGAUGCAGAAAGGGUACUGCUAAAUUGCCUUUUUUUUUUUUUAAUCUAACGUCAAACGCCGCCAGUUUGCCUUGUUGACAUGAUAGGUUGCCUUAGAAAGAGUUAACUGAGAUGGCUAUUGAUUCGCAGAGGUUUUUUUCUUAGCCUCAGGCUUAUUCAAUCAAGGAAUAUAUUCUCCUUGUGAAGUCAGAGUAUUUUUAUUAUUGUGUCUGAGUACAUAAUAUAUUUUAUGUGAGGAGACAGACACCAAAAAGCCCCAUUCCUACCCAGGUCGCAUCGACUCUGUCACCCCUCUCCCCUUCGGGUGUACUACCUUCGUGUUUCUUUAUGCAAAUGUAAGUAAGAAGCAGUCCACAUUCUGUUCCACACCUUGCUUUUUGUCUUGUAACAAUAUGCCCUGGAGAUCUUCCCAUGAUAGUGCCUUCUUCUUUAUGGCUGCAUGACACUCCAUCAUGAGGAUGUAUUGUUAUUUAUGUAAUAUUGCUGGUUACUCAGGUUAUUUCUAAUUUUCUUUCCUAAGUUUUUGUUAUGAUAAAAAUGCCACACUAAAUGCUCUUGAAUGUAUAUCUUCUUCAUACAUGGGCAAUAGUAUCCAAAGGGAAAUUUCCAGAAGAGGGAUUGCUAGGUCAAUGGUAAAUGUAUCUAUAAUUUAUAGGCUGUACCAUUUUGCAGUAACACCAAUAAGAUAGGAAAGUAUCAGUCUCAGCAACUGAAUAUAUUAUCAAACUUCUGUCUUUUUGUCAGUCUCAUAGAUGAGAAAUGGUAUCUCAGUAUAGUUUUAAGUUAUGUCAUUUUAAUAAAAAUGAAAUCAAGCCUCUUUUGUUUAAAGCCUUUUGUAUUCCUUUUUUUUAAUUGUGUCAUUGGCCAUUUUCUAUUGUUUCUUUUUUCUUUACUCCUAAGAACUUCUGAUACAAUAGAUCAGGCAAGAUAUAGGCUAGAAAUUUAAUGCAACAGAUUUUAUCAUGGGGCACUGGGAGACGAUAAGCUGCCACAUCUACUCAAACAUCUAAAGUAACUGCCCAGGAAAAGUUAGAUUAUGCGCCUGGGGCCAACUAAACUAUCUAGAACCUAAGUGGUCUGACACUGACAAGCACAAUAAUGUCUCUGUUAACCGGAAAUCAGACUUCAGAUUCAAAUUUCCAGAAUGCUCCAACCUGGAAGCAGACGAAAAUGGCUUCGUGAGCGAUCUAGCUCAAAAUGCUCACAAUCAAAAACCUGAUGCCCUUCACAGCUGUACCACAGAUCCUGGACCCUCACACAGGGCCUUAAGAAUUCUAUUAGCAUAUAGUCCCUUCUCACCUGCCUAUGUGGCUUCCCAGUUUCCCAAAGCAGAACUCAGAGAGCCAAAUGAAGUAAGGAUAUGCACGCUUGAAUCAGACUCCUGCAUAAGAGAUCUCAAAGAAAGAGAUGGGGAAACCGAGACACCAACACAGAGUCAGAAAAGCACAUGACUACCUGGGGCCACUGGCUCCUGGGAGCAAAGAAUCCUAAAAAUAGUUGCUGAGGUAAUGAUUGCAUAAGAAGAUACUAUCAUCACUAGUGUCCAUUCUUAAGACCGAUUCAGAGUGAUGGGAUGAUCAAACCUUUGAAUUGGAGAGAACCCAGUUCUUUCUCAUUCUCAACCUGUUUCUUCUCUAGAGCAGCUCUGUUUGCUCACUGGGCCUCUGCCCGAAUAGUUCUAGGGAAGAAACCUCAACAUCAAAAUAAAUUAGUUCAAGAGAGGGACAACUGUACGUUGAGUAACCGCUAUGUGCCAGGCAUUGGGCUACAUCCUCUCUAUUCAUUUUGUCAUUUCAUCUCCACAGUAACCCCAAGCAGGCAUUGUCCACAUUUCACAGAUGUGGCAACUGAAGUUCAAAAAUGUCAAGUAACUUGCCCAAGAUUACAAGAAAAAAAGAAGCGGCUGUGACAUCUGGAAACAGGCCUGGAAUGAUCAGCUGGCCUGGAGUUCCCCUGCUGGACACGAACGAUGUCACAGAACAUCAACAUUGGGCAAGGCCACUCUGGUCAGGACAAAUCAAAACCAAAACGAGACCUGUCAUCAUCUUGACUGACCACAGAAAAAAAUGUAAACAUUGCCCAAACCACAAAAAUGACCAAACACCCCCCGCUACCACCACCCACCCUGGCUACGGAGUGACUGCUGCAUCUUGGUCAACCACAGCUUUAGCCUCACUCUGUCAUCCCUCCUUCUAGACAAAUUAUGAAGAUACUCAACACGAUCUCCUGCAAUCCUCGCAGCAUCCAACAGAGUGAAGUUCCGUUUCCAUAAACUCUCCCCCAAAUCACCUACAAGCCUGAAUCCCCUAAUUCCCUUCUAACACCCACUUACUGAGACCUGCCAGGGUUCCGCAUGACACGAGGUCUUCCUUAGUGCGACAAGCAACAAACCCAACUUAUUCAACUCUAAGUGUGUUCCUGAAAGUCUUUGACUAGCAGCCAUUUAUUCUCAUAUUAGAGAAUUAAUGCUGAGCCCAGAUUCCAACCAAGAUCCACCUGCCUCCCCAGCCUGAGCCCUGACCACUCUGCUCUGUUGACGCCCCAGUCAGUCGUUUUGUUUUGUUUUGUUUUGUUUUAAUCUGGGCUACGAAUGACUCAUUUUGUAAAGUAAGAAAGUGUGUUCAAAAGGGUAAACUUCAGUUAUGGUGGAAGCAAAAAUCAUGGCUAUGGAACACAUUAUUUCCUCACGGCCUAGGGAAAUGCGACAUUGCUGUACUUGUCUCCUAGCUAACAACUUCAGCACCUUUUGAGUUAUUUCUGGUUUUCUCAAUAACAAAGUGAAAUUGAGUCUAUAAAAUUAAAACAGAGGUGUCAUCCUUUUACAUCUUUGGGCCAGUACCUGAGCUCACUUUUAUAAUAAGAUGACGAAUUAAAGACCAGGUACUCUAUCAUUUCCUCCUAAAAUAAAAAUUAGUAUGCAAAAUACAAAAAACAAAGGAUGGUCACUAGACAGGCCUGAAUUUGGAAAAAGGAGGCAGGGUGAGGCAAAGGCCUUUGGGCAGUGGAGUGGAUAACAGAAGAGAGACUGAUUAAGGAUAGAGAAGAACCCUCUGGAUCCCUUGAGAAAGAACAAAAAGAAAAGCAGUUCUGGAAACCACAAAGCCUCCUGUUAACAGCAGGCGAGCUGAGGGGCAGCAGCUGGGAGCUUGGGCCACGUUUUUUCCAAGUCUCCAGUUGCCUGGGCUCAGCUUCUCCAGGCUGUUUUCCUUUAUCAGAAGAGCUCGUUGGUGGUGGAUUUUGAAAAUGACUCUUUUACUCUAAUUUAUUCAGCGGUUUCUCUGACAGCACAGCUGUCAUAUCACUGGCGCAUCAUCUAUCUGCCUCUUGCCGCAGCGAUAUCAAGACACGCAUCCCUCUCACCACCCUGUUCACUCCCUGGUGCAGGGAAGGCUGUGAACGAGUGGUUUUUUAACAAUCUACAACAAACGCGCUCCCGAGAGCCGCCGUCUAGUCUUCCCUUCUCAGGUGCAGGUGGGAAGCGGACUCCUGGCAGCGUCUGGGGUCCGCACGCUAAGGCCCCGGGAAGCGAGGUGGCCAGCUGCGAUGUCAUCCCACCCCAGGCCGGGAACCGCCGGGGGGCCCUGCCUCCUCCCCAUCCCAGACCCAGGCGGUCGAGGCCGGUCCCGGUGCCGAGAGACCGAAUUCCGCGUCGGCUCCGGCCUUUCCGCACACAGGCCCCCCAGGCUGGGAAAAGCCUCAGCACAGCUGGAGAGGAAACCGGAACAAAGAAUGAAGGAUUGGGGACGGGAUGGUGACGACGGACGACAGAGAAACCAGUUGGAAGUCCAAGUUACAAACGAGUAAACCGAGUCACAAGCUGGGAAGCCCAUCCAUCUGGGAAGAGAAAAAACCAAGAUUUAAAUCUGGAUCAUUUGACACCAUCCCAGCUUUUAAACCACCAAACAGUACAGAUUCUCCAGAGCAAAAAUAAGAAGCACCACAAGAGUCACACCACCAAGCAAUGUUUGACACACCUGUGUGUGUUGGGAGGCAGAGAUGAAUUGUACAGACGCAAGGAGAACUGAAAUUUACUUGGUGGCCAGCAAAUGAUCAACAAAAUGGUCAAAAUUAAAAGUCUCUAUGCAAAUAUUAUUGGACAAAUAAGGAAGUCAAGCCUUUGGGCAAGGCUCAGCUGAAUGAUUCUUCAGUUCCGUGCAGCAUUGAUUGGGAUCGCCCAGUGGAAUUUAGCCAGUGAAUGGCCUAAUCUGCUGGGUCCAACAUAGCUUCACCCACAUAUCUAAUGCCUUGGCAGGAAUGGCUAGGAGGCAACACUUAUCUGGGGUUAUCAACCAAACACCCUACAUGUGUUCUCUUUAUCAUGGUGGUCUCAGAGAAGUCACACUUUGUAUUUGGAGGCUCGGGGCUCCAAAAGGGAGUGUUCCAAGAAAGAAGGCAGAAGCUGUAAUUCCUAUGACUUAGCCCCUGAAGAUGUGGAUUGUAACUUCCCCAGCAGUCUGUUGUUGAAGUAAGGCCAGAUUCAGAGAGGGGAAUUAUAUUCUACCUCUCAAUGGAAAAACAGCAAAGAAUUUCCAGAAAUCUUCGAUCGACCACACUUUUUUUAAAAAUGAAAUUCUCUUUAAAUAAACAAAAUUAGUAAAAGCA